UAGUCCACGCCGUAAACGAUCAUCACUCGCUGUUGGCGAUAUACUGUCAGCGGCCAAGCGAAAGUAUUAAGUGAUGCACCUGGGGAGUACGCCGGCAACGGUGAAACUCAAAGGAAUUGACGGGGGCCCGCACAAGCGGUGGAGCAUGUGGUUUAAUUCGAUGAUACGCGAGGAACCUUACCAGGGCUUAAAUGUAGUAUGACCGGUCUGGAAACAGGCCUUCCCUUCGGGGCAGAUUACAAGGUGCUGCAUGGUUGUCGUCAGCUCGUGCCGUGAGGUGUUGGGUUAAGUCCCGCAACGAGCGCAACCCUCGUUCUUAGUUGCCAUCAUUUAGUUGGGCACUCUAAGAAGACUGCCGGUGACAAACCGGAGGAAGGUGGGGAUGACGUCAAGUCAUCAUGGGCCCUUAUGGGGCUGGGGCUACACACGUGCUACAAUGGGUAGGUACAAAGGGGUCGCUAACCCGCGAGGGGGGCGCUAA
rnacentral:rRNA from 1 species